rnacentral:rRNA from 1 species
GAUGAACGCUGACAGAAUGCUUAACACAUGCAAGUCAACUGUGGCGGACGGGUGAGUCACGCGUAAAGAACUUGCCUCACAGAUAGGGACAACAUUUGGAAACGAAUGCUAAUACCUGAUACUGUGAGAGAGCUUUGCGUCCCAUUAGCUAGUUGGAGAGGUAACGGCUCACCAAGGCGAGGAUGGGUAGCCGGCCUGAGAGGGUGAUCGGCCACAAGGGGACGGGGACACGGACCUUACUCCGACGGGAGGCAGCAGUGGGGAAUAUUGGACGAGGGACCAAAGUCUGAUCCAGCAAUUCUGUGUGCACGAUGAAGUUUUCGGAAGGUAAAGUGCUUUCAGUUGGGAAGCAGUACCAACAGAAGAAGUGACGGCUAAAUACGUGCCAGCAGCCGCGGUAAUAC